UACGUAGGGUGCGAGCGUUGUCCGGAAUUACUGGGCGUAAAGAGCUCGUAGGUGGUUUGUCGCGUUGUUCGUGAAAACUCACAGCUUAACUGUGGGCGUGCGGGCGAUACGGGCAGACUGGAGUACUGCAGGGGAGACUGGGAAUUCCUGGUGUAGCGGUGGAAUGCGCAGAUAUCAGGAGGAACACCGGUGGCGAAGGCGGGGUCUCUGGGCAGUAACUGACGCUGAGGAGCGAAAGCGUGGGGGAGCGAACAGG
rnacentral:rRNA from 1 species